rnacentral:rRNA from 1 species
GGGGUCCUACGGGAGGCAGCAGUAGGGAAUCUUCGACAAUGGGGGCAACCCUGACCGAGCAACGCCGCGUGAGUGAAGAAGGUUUUCGGAUCGUAAAGCUCUGUUGUAAGAGAAGAACGUGUGCGAGAGUGGAAAGUUCACACAGUGACGGUAACUUACCAGAAAGGGACGGCUAACUACGUGCCAGCAGCCGCGGUAAUACGUAGGUCCCGAGCGUUAUCCGGAUUUAUUGGGCGUAAAGCGAGCGCAGGCGGUUGGAUAAGUCUGAAGUUAAAGGCUGGGGCUUAACCAUAGUA